UUCUGCCGGCAACUGAAUUGACUGACUCUUCUCCAGAUUCCCAGAUUGUCACCUCACGGGGAGAUCCUUGGGACCUGCAGCCUCAUCCCUUCUGCUUCCUUCUGACCUAGGAGUCACCUCACGUGUUGGACUGUGGCUGAACUUCAGUGCCCAGUCCUCAGCAGCGGCAGAUCUCAGCUCCUGCAACAUUUGUUCCAAGAUACAAGACACUGUGUGCAGAUAAUUACGUAGCUUUUGAAAUUCUAGCAAAAGCUAAAUUCUUCAGUAAGGGAAAAAUAGUUACAGAGUGCUUAUAGGCAGGUGUAGGAAUUUUAUGUACAAAUACAAAAUAUACUUUUUCUAAAUAUUUCCAAGUCCUUUUGGCCCUGGCUUAAAAAAAAUGAUUUAACAUUUCUUAUUAAAUAUGCAAUUUGGUUCAAACUAAGAAUAUGUGUAGCCUUGAACAAGACAUGCAGCAUCUUUAGGCCUCUGUGAAAAUGGCGAAGUUGGGUGACAAGACCACUCAGCAUCCCACAUGUCUAUUGCAUGUCAGUUUUCUACUAACUAUGGACUAUGCUCACAAGAAAAGUGGUGGAGAAAGAGAAAGUACACCCAAGAUGCUUCUUUUCAGCUCUUCUUUCCUUCCUUUUUAUAAAGCAUAUUAUUAUUAUUAUUGUUAUUUAGAGACAGGGUCUCACUCUUUCACCCAGGCUGGAGUGUAGUGGCAUAAUCAUGGUUCACUGCAUCCUCCAACUCCUGAGCUCAAGCAAUUCUCAGGUCUCAGCCCCUCAAGUAGCUGGGACUACAGGUGCACACCACCAUGCCUUGCUUCUUCUUCUUCUUCUUAUUUUUUUUUAUAGAGAGGGAUUUUCACUUUGUUGCCCAGGCUGGUAUUGAACUCCUUGCUUCAAGUUAUACUUCCGCCUUGAUUCCCAAAGUGCUGGGAUUAUAGGCAUGGGCCAACUGCACCCACCAAAUGUUAUUUUUAGUCCAAGGUAGUACGAUUUCUCUCCUUCCUUCCAUCUUUUCCUCCUUAUUUUGUCUUGAACCCAUCUACUUAAUAAAAAUAAAGACACGUUUCUAGGCCUUACAAAGCCUCCCUUCUUUACCAGAAAAUUUAAAUACUUAGAAAAAGUAAAAACCACAAAGACCA
rnacentral:lncRNA from 1 species